GUUGCAAACCAAACAUAAGAAACAGUGUGAAGAAAACCAUGAGACAUAUAUAGCUUUUAAGUAAAUAUUAAAAGAAGCUAUGUAUCAUUGUAAACCAAAUUUAAAGUUGUUGGAAGGCCUUCAAACUGCAUCUAAGUUUGUAAAGUUUGUCUAAAAUAGUAGUGAGCCCAACAUCCAAGAAACAGAAUCGCUCAUACCAUUGCUUGGUAGGUUGGUUUCAUUACAAAUCAUACUACAAAUCUCUCACACCAUGCUUUAAAACCUCUCAAAACAAAGAAACAGAAUCAACAACAAUAGUUAAUAUAUAGAGCAACCUUCCAUUUUCAUUCUCCUCCUUAGUUGCCUUCCAAAAAAAUGAAUGCGUUAAAAAAUGAUUGGGAGAGGAANNNNNNNNNNNNNNNNNNNNNNNNNNNNNNNNNNNNNNNNNNNNNNNNNNNNNNNNNNNNNNNNNNACCAAAAGAUAAUAUGAAAAAAAACAUUAUAGAAUCUAAUAGGGGGGACAUCAUAGAGUUUUAUAAAAAAUGGGACAAAGAUGAUGAUCUUUUGAAGGAAAGACAAUCUUCCUAAAGAUUUACAUUACUAAACUUAUAUUAACCAAUCUUCCUAAAGAUUUGGGACAAAGAAAAAAUGAGAGAAGCUAAGCAUAUAUUAACCAAAAUAUAUUUGUUACCUAUCUUCCUAAAGAUGAUAGAUCCUAAGUAGUAGAUUAAGAGAAUCUAGAAUAACCAUUCUGUUGAUCAUCUUGUCAUAUAGAUGAGGGAUUCUUUCAUAAACCUUCAAUCAAACAACAUACUAAAAACCAUAAAAUUAACAACAAACUAACAAUAAAAUUAACAGCUAAAAUGGUUAUCAAUCAAUACAGAAGAAAACAUAAACACCCUUAAAGAGCUAAUAAGGCAAACAAUUAUCCAAAAAACCAGCAAACUACUAACCAAAAACCAUUGAACCAGCAACCAAAAUCCAGAAAGUAUAAAAAUUAUAAAAUAAAAUAAAAUACCCUGAUUCAUGUACUUAUUGUGAUUGUGAAAAAAUAAAAUAACCUUGAUUGAAAUUAGGAACACCAAUUAAGGCAAACAUUGAAAUCAAUGGAAUUAGAAAUACAAUUAUUAUAGUAAAAUAUUUAAACAAUAAUUUAUAAAAUUAAAAAGCAUACCUUGUGAAGCCCUUUGAGCAUUCCUUUAUGAAGAUAACCUGCAUAUCAAUAUCAAUUGACAAAAGAAAAUGCAGACAGAACAAAAAUUAAUGUUAAAAACAAAUAUUGGAUACAUAUAAAUGGUGAAACCCAAUCAAAAUUCAAAAUCCGAAAAUCAAAAUAAAUUUUGCAGUCCCAAAUGGACCUAGAAAUCAUCUAACAACCCCUUCAUCAAUCACUUAAAUACAAAAUAAAAAAUGAAAUAAAACUGAGCUAGGAGACAUAGAGUAGAGAAAGAGAAGUACCGUCAAAUUCCAACAACAACUCGAGCUUAAAUAUAUCAUCUGCAAACAACCCAUGAAUCGUUUAAAUACAAAAAGAAAACCAAAGAAAGAUCCAGAAAAUCAAGAGUGAUACCUACACUUUGGGAGAACAUGAUUCGAAUUUGGUGAAUGAAACUUUUACCUCAUGAUGCGAGAAUGUGAAAAACAAAAUAAAAAGAGGAUUAGAAAAUUAGGGAUCCUAAA
rnacentral:lncRNA from 1 species